rnacentral:rRNA from 1 species
UACGUAGGGUGCAAGCGUUGUCCGGAAUUAUUGGGCGUAAAGAGCUCGUAGGCGGUUUGUCGCGUCGGCUGUGAAAACUCGGGGCUCAACCCCGAGCCUGCAGUCGAUACGGGCAGACUAGAGUGCUGUAGGGGAGACUGGAAUUCCUGGUGUAGCGGUGAAAUGCGCAGAUAUCAGGAGGAACACCGGUGGCGAAGGCGGGUCUCUGGGCAGUAACUGACGCUGAUGCGCGAAAGCCAGGGGAGCGAACGGG